AUUGAACGCUGGCGGCAUGCCUUACACAUGCAAGUCGAACGGCAGCACGGGUGCUUGCACCUGGUGGCGAGUGGCGAACGGGUGAGUAAUACAUCGGAACGUACCUUAUCGUGGGGGAUAACGCAGCGAAAGUUGCGCUAAUACCGCAUACGCCCUGAGGGGGAAAGCGGGGGACCGUAAGGCCUCGCGCGAUUAGAGCGGCCGAUGUCUGAUUAGCUUGUUGGUGGGGUAAAAGCUUACCAAGGAGAUGAUCAGUAGCUGGUCUGAGAGGACGAUCAGCCACACUGGGGCUGAGACACGGCCCAGACUCCUACGGGAGGCAGCAGUGGGGAAUUUUGGACAAUGGGGGCAACCCUGAUCCAGCAAUGCCGCGUGAGUGAAGAAGGCCUUCGGGUUGUAAAGCUCUUUUGUCAGGGAAGAAACAGCAGCUCUAACACAGUCUGCGAAUGACGGUACCUGAAGAAUAAGCACCGGCUAACUACGUGCCAGCCGCCGCAGUAA
rnacentral:rRNA from 1 species